UCGCUGGCAAAAUCCAGCGACGGGGUUUUCACCCCGUUUUAUCGAUGCGGCCUUAAACACGCCCCGCGUGUUUUUU
rnacentral:sRNA from 2 species